rnacentral:tRNA from 1 species
UCUCUGGUGUUUAGUGGCUAAGACUCUGCACUCCCAAUGCAGGGGGCCUGGGUUCAAUCCCUGGUCAGGGAA